UCCCCGAAGUCUCCGGCCAGUCCUACUGCCACUUUCCAAACAGGCUAUGGGAUGGGGAUGCCAUAUCCAGGAAGCUAUAACACACCCCCUUUGCCGGGAGUGCAGACUCCCUGCUCCCCAAAAGAUGCCCUGUCCCCUGCACCAUUUGCACCGCAGGAGUCAGCAGUGGUUCUGCAGCCUGCCUACCCACCCAGCCUCUCGUACUGCACCCUGCCCCCCAUGUAUCCGGGAAGCAGCACCUGCUCGAGUUUACAGCUGCCGCCCAUCGCCUUGCACCCCUGGGGUUCCUACAGCCCUUGCCCGCCCAUGCAAAGCCCCCAGGGCACUCUCCCCCCCAAGGCUCACCUGGUGGUAGAGAAGCCCCUCGUGUCCCCACCGCCCACCGACCUCCAAAGCCACUUGGGUACCGAGGUGAUGGUAGAGACCACAGACAACUUCCAAGAAGUCCUCUCCCUGACGGAGAGCCCAGUCCCCCAGCGGACAGAGAAGUUCGGCAAGAAGAACCGGAAGCGCCUGGACAGCCGAGCAGAGGAAGGAAAUGUUCAGGCCAUCACGGAGGGCAAAGUGAAGAAGGAGGCACGGACUUUGAGUGACUUUAAUUCCCUGAUCUCCAGCCCCCGCCUGGGGAGAGAGAAGAAGAAAGUGAAGAGUCAGAAAGACCAACUGAAGUCAAAGAAAUUGAACAAGACGAAUGAGUUCCAGGACAGCUCGGAGAGCGAGCCCGAGCUGUUCAUCAGCGGGGACGAGCUGAUGAACCAGAGCCAGGGCAGCAAGAAGGGCUGGAAGAGCAAGCGGAGCCUGAGGACGGCCAGUGAGCUGGAAGAGUUCAAGUGCCGGAAAGCCAGCGAGAAGGAGGAUGGGCGGCUGGGCAGCCAGGGCUUCGUGUAUGUCAUGGCCAACAAGCAGCCUCUGUGGAACGAAGCCACCCAGGUGUACCAGCUGGACUUCGGGGGGCGGGUGACCCAGGAAUCGGCCAAGAACUUCCAGAUUGAGCUGGAGGGGCGGCAGGUAAGCAAGCUUUGCGCUGGCAGCCCCCGGCCGCCGGAGCUGGGAAGAGAGGGGCGAAGGAAGCAAUACAAAGGGCGGAGCGGCGGGAGGAGGGGACGCCGGGCUCGGCGCCGGGAACGCGGGCGCGGCGCGGGCAUGGACACCGAGUACCCUGCUUUCGAGCCCCCGCUCUGCAGCGAGCUCAAGCACCUAUGCAAGCGGCUCCAGGAGGCGUACCGCGAGCUGAAGGAGGACCUCACGCCUUUCAAAGAUGACCGCUACUACAGGUAG